UGUGAACGUUACCAAACUGUUGCCUCGGCGGGGUCACGCCCCGGGUGCGUCGCAGCCCCGGAACCAGGCGCCCGCCGGAGGAACCAACCAAACUCUUUCUGUAGUCCCCUCGCGGACGUAUUUCUUACAGCUCUGAGCAAAAAUUCAAAAUGAAUCAAAACUUUCAACAACGGAUCUCUUGGUUCUGGCAUCGAUGAAGAACGCAGCGAAAUGCGAUAAGUAAUGUGAAUUGCAGAAUUCAGUGAAUCAUCGAAUCUUUGAACGCACAUUGCGCCCGCCAGUAUUCUGGCGGGCAUGCCUGUCCGAGCGUCAUUUCAACCCUCGAACCCCUCCGGGGGAUCGGCGUUGGGGAUCGGGACCCCUCACACGGGUGCCGGCCCCGAAAUACAGUGGCGGUCUCGCCGCAGCCUCUCCUGCGCAGUAGUUUGCACAACUCGCACCGGGAGCGCGGCGCGUCCACGUCCGUAAAACACCCAACUUUCUGAAAUGUUGACCUCGGAUCAGGUAGGAAUACCCGCUGAACUUAAGCAUAUCAAUAA
rnacentral:rRNA from 1 species